rnacentral:rRNA from 1 species
CCUACGGGUGGCAGCAGUAGGGAAUCUUCCACAAUGGGCGCAAGCCUGAUGGAGCAACACCGCGUGAGUGAAGAAGGGUUUCGGCUCGUAAAGCUCUAUUGGUGGGGAAGAACGUGCGUGAGAGUAACUGUUCACGCAGUGACGGUAUCCAACCAGAAAGUCACGGCUAACUACGUGGCAGCAGCCGCGGUAAUACGUAGGUGGCAAGCAUUAGCCGGAUUUAUUGGGCGUAAAGGGAGCGCAGGCGGUUGCUUAGGUCAGAUGUGAAAGCCUUGGGCUUAACCGAGGAAGUGCAUCGGAAAACGGGCAACUGGAGUGCAGAAGAGGACAGUGGAACUCCAGGUGUAGCGGUGGAAUGCGUAGAUAUAUGGAAGAACACCAGUGGCGAAGGCGGCUGUCUGGUCUGCAACUGACGCUGAGGCUCGAAAGCAUGGGUAGCGAACAGGAUUAGAUACCCCAGUAGUC